CUGCUCGGUCUGACCACUAGUCAUUCUAUGAUUUUAAUUGACCUAAUUGCUUCUGCUAAUUUGACUUGAGUUGAUCAAAUUUGUUAUCCUCCCUAAUCAAAGACAUGGGAUGGCUAAAUCUGCAUUUAAAGGACAACUGUCAUGAAAAGAUCAUCUAAAUGGGCAUUAAAUAAAGGUUUAUAGGAAUGAGAAAAUGCCUGGGAAAUUGAUACGGGGAGAGAGAUAUGAUAUAUUUAGCCUGCCCUUCCAUGAAGACAAAACUUGGUGAUGACAAAUUAUUUUUACCACCCUUGGCAGAUCAUAUAGAUCUAGUGCUUGGAAGACUGUUUAAAGGAC